CACGCUCCGACUGCAGGCAGCGGCGGGCGGGCGGGCGGCGAGGCGGCGUGGAAGCGCCGGGUGGAGGGCGGGCAGGAAGGAUGGGGCGAGUCCACGCCUUCCCGCGGGCAGGCGGGUCUCGGAGGAUUGAAAGCCCCGGGCGCGCCCUCCCGCAGGUGAGGCGGACUCGGGGGCACCCCAGCUGCUCCCCGUCUACCGCGGCUUCCUUCCGGCCCGGAGAGGCCGCGACUGAGGUUCAGGGACCACUCCGCCGCAGCUGCGCUGGCCUGUGUCACUCAGCCCGCCCUGGGAGCGCCGGGCCUGAGCUUUCCACGGAGGGACCCGCAGCUGAGCCCUGCUUUCAGGUAGCUGAUGGGAGUGACCCCUAGUACCCUGUAGGCACCUGGCACGUGGAACUGGAGGAGACUUGCUUCACAAGGAUCUCCCGAGCCCAUUCUGACCGUUUGAGAUGUGAUUAAAUUCACAAACUCUCCAUUAAAGUCUCAAAAGCUCCUUUUGAAUGGUGAGACCCCUCCCUCUCCUGCACUGCAGUUUAUUUUCCUUGAAUCUGACAGAACACCUUGAUAAUGAAGGAAGGUUGUUCUGUAACAAAGCAUGUGUUGAGGGGAGGGGGUGCUGAGGAGAGAUGGCAGUAUUAAGGGGUCAGCUCCCCUGGGGAGAGUUGAAGUCCUGGAACAGGGGAGAAAUACAGCCAUCCCGGCCUGGAUGGGGGAUCACUUCUCAUAUCACUUCUCAUGUCCUUGGGUGUCUCCGUGGGUGCCCUUUUCAGAACUUCAUGCAUCUGUUCACAUCCCUCAGGGAAUUGAUCUGGUCACUGCCCUUUGUAUCAGUUUCCUAUCCUAAAUCUGAAAAGCAGCCAACC
rnacentral:lncRNA from 1 species